rnacentral:rRNA from 1 species
GUCCACGCCGUAAACGAUCAUUACUCGAUAUCAGCGAUAUACAGUUGGUGUCUAAGCGAAAGUGAUAAGUAAUGCACCUGGGGAGUACGAUCGCAAGGUUGAAACUCAAAGGAAUUGACGGGGGCCCGCACAAGCGGUGGAGCAUGUGGUUUAAUUCGAUGAUACGCGAGGAACCUUACCAGGGCUUAAAUGCAUAAUGACAGGGGUGAAACACCUUUUUCUCGGACAUUUUGCAAGGUGCUGCAUGGCUGUCGU